rnacentral:lncRNA from 1 species
CAUAUUCUUGGACUUUUUGGAAAGGUGAGAACAAGAUAUUCAACUUUCAUGUUGGACAAAAUUUCAUUUGAAGCUUGUAUGAUGAUGUAAAUUUGAGGAGAAGACCUUUCCAUUUUGGGCAGUUUGAAAUUACAGGUCACUUACUAUUUUUGGAAACUUUCCAUCUGACCUCAAAUUCUUCAAUCUUGAUCUUUGAAAUGUCAAAUGAGACUUGUAUGGACAUGAAU